CAUACAUAGAAUUUGAAACUUAUGGAAUAUUUCGACACCCGCCUAUGUAUACAAAUCAACAUGUGUAUAGCCACAUUGACACAGUAUGUUACUAUAGUAAAUGUAUAUAAAUAUUCGGUUUCAGAUACAGACAAAAAAAAAAAAACAAUUGUUAAUUGAAAUAUUUUAGGAGAUGAAUUAAAAGAGGGGAAAUUUGGUUGGACAGAAAAUGAAAUUCAAACUGUAUGUGAAGCUAUAUUAAUGGCAUGAUUUAUGGGUUGUGGGGUACAAAGAAAAAUAGCCUAAAAUUUUGAUAAAAAAAAAACUAUUAAAUUCUCGUGAAUUUGUGUUUGUGAUAAGUUUACAUUAGUUGGUAAUUAUUAUUGGUAACGGUAGGGGCAAAUUUGUGCCGAAAGUAUAACGGGGGGUAAAUGUGGACUAUUUCCAAUAGUAGAGGGGUAAAU